CACGUAGGCGGACUCUUAAGUCGGGGGUGAAAUCCUGGAGCUCAACUCCAGAACUGCCUUCGAUACUGAGAGUCUUCGAGUUCGGGAGAGGUGAGUGGAACUGCGAGUGUAGAGGUGAAAUUCGUAGAUAUUCGCAAGAACACCAGUGGCGAAGGCGGCUCACUGGCCCGAUACUGACGCUGAGGUGCGAAAGCGUGGGAGCAACA
rnacentral:rRNA from 1 species